AUACAGAGGGUGCGAGCGUUAAUCGGAUUUACUGGGCGUAAAGCGUGCGUAGGUGGUUGGGUAAGUCAGAUGUGAAAGCCCCGGGCUUAACCUGGGAACUGCAUUUGAUACUGCCUAGCUAGAGUUUGGUAGAGGGAAGUGGAAUUCCAGGUGUAGCGGUGAAAUGCGUAGAUAUCUGGAGGAACACCAGUGGCGAAAGCGGCUUCCUGGACCGAAACUGACACUGAGGCACGAAAGCGUGGGGAGCAAACAGGAUUAGAUACCCCAGUAGUCC
rnacentral:rRNA from 1 species